ACUAGUCUUGAUCCCUAUUCUUUUGUCCCCAAGGGUGAUAGUCUCCAUACUUUCAUCAUCUGAAUCAUCAAUAUCAUUAUCUGAAUCAGCAGAUGUAAUGGUUACAUCUGGCUUGAGUUGAGCAGACUGAAGCAAAGGCGGCAUGACAACCGUCAUAUACGGAAGAAAAUCUUGUCCCAAACACUUGCAAAGUCUAGCCCAUGCUUGUAACAUGUAACUUGUCGUUGGAUCAUCUGUCUCCAUUUGAGAUCCUUGCAAAGACAUAAGGACUUCCAUAACCUGCUUAGCAUCCUCUCUAAAUUUAUCCUUCCCAACUGCCAUUCCAACCAGACUAAUGCACUCCAUGGAUUUGGCACGAAGCAUACGGUUAGAUUUGUCUGUUGCAUUCACUAAUAUAGCCUUCAGGUACGGCAUCACCGCAUCAUAGUAUUUUUGGAAGUGCUCCUGGGAUGAGUCAGCAACUGAGGCCAAGGCAGUCAAGGCUCCCUCUUGCACCAUUUGUUUCCCAUUCUGUAAUAGUACAAGCAAUUUGCUCACUAUUCCAUCUAAGUAAGGAGCUAAAAUCUCUGGAGUACAGUUCUCACUAAAGUUGAGCACCGCUGAAGCAGCAUGUGCCUGCACCCGAGGAUUGGGGAAAUCAUCCAUUGCACUAGCAAGUGCUGGCAACACUCUCUGAUGAUAUUGAUUUUGCAAAUCUGGACCCAAAUCAGUAGACAACUGUCCAAUUGCAUUAAUAGCUGCCCAUCUCACACGUGGAUGGGGAUCAUAGAAUGAGUUUAGAACCAUUGACACUACUUGUUCCAGAUUUUUUAUCAUUACCUUGGAGCAACCCUCAGCAAUUUGAGCAAGAGCAAUGAGGGCAGCAUGAUGCUUCUGCCAUUCUGGAGCAGCCAAAUAUGCAGGCAACUGCUCAGAAGCGACUGGAACAAUAGUAUUCCCACCCAAUGAAAUGGCCAACCUAUCCAAGCACUCCUGUCCAACACUAUAAUUGCUGGUCUCUCCAGCAUCUUCAUCCUCAGUCUCUGCACCAUGCCAUGCAGGAUCAUCCUCAACAUCCAACAACAUCCUCAUCAAAAUGGCGAACAACCUGCUAAUAAACUGUGGCAACUUCCUCAUCAUCCCUGGCGCCCUCUCCCUAGCCUCAGCUAAAGUAAUAACAAACUCAAUAGCCAAAUGCCGAGUCCCUUCUUCUAAACUCUCAGCCUCAGCAAUCUGCAACAUAGAACCCACAACAUCCACCAAUUGCCGUCGCAGAAACCUUGGCUCUGUUCCUGCCAACUCGAUAAGAAGCUCCAACGCCUCCUGCGCCGUUGCCUCAUUUCCAUUAUUCAAUGCUUCAGUCAACGUCCUUAUCAUCGCAGGCAACAGAUCCUGAAACCUAUCCCGAUCCGACGAACUAUUCAAACACUGAAUAAAAUUGAUAACCGCAUUCAAAGCCGCAAUCUUCACAUCAAAAUUCGGAGAAGAUCCCAAACACUGUAAAAACACCGUGUGUAACUCCUUAAUGAACGGAAUUAAGGUCUCACCAAUAUACUGUGACAACUGAGCAAAAAUCAAGAACGCAGAUUCUUGAAGCUUUGGCGAAUCAGAAGAAACGCAUUGAAACAUAAAUGGCAAAAGCUCAGGCCAGCCGUUCUCAAGCAAAAUACCAGAGGCAAGUUCAGAAACAGUGUCACACAACUUCUUAACAAUAGAUUUGGUCUGCUCGUGCUGGAUACAAGCCAAUAGAAUAGAUUUGAUAGAAGACUGAGUGGAGGGGGACAGACGAGGCCAGAGAUAUGCAUCGUCACGGGUAAGGAGCUUGCGGAGAAGAACAGCAGACAUUGCUCGACCCUCUGUGUGAGAAGAGUGCUGAAGGAGGUGAGCAAGUUUGAGGGACAGAGAAUUGGGAUCGGUCUGCUUGCAGAGGUUGAAAGCGAGCUCAGCCUGCGAUCGCUGCUCGUUGGAGGAAGACAUGAGAGAGGAGAUUAGGUUUUCAAAAGGGGCAGGGUCCUGGCCGAGUAUGGCGGCGAGUUGAGCUUGUUGGAGUUGCUGAGUUGAAUCGUCCAUAGUUAGAGAGAAUUAGGGUUUGGUGGCUGUGGCUCUGUGUUUCUGGUUUUUUUAGUGUGAAUGAAUAUAAAGUCUUUCUUUUGAUUUGUUUUGGGUUUGAGCGUGCGAGAGAGAAAGAGGGACGGAGAAAGAGCGAAGGAGAAAGGAAAGAGGGAAGAGGAUUAUAAGAAAGUGAGUGUGAGGAUUUGAUUAGGGGCCAAUAAAGAGAGAAGGGAUUGAAGGAUUGAAUGGGAGAUUAGCUGGAAUUUUUG
rnacentral:misc_RNA from 1 species